UGCAAGUCGAGCGGAUGAGAGGAGCUUGCUCCUGGAUUCAGCGGCGGACGGGUGAGUAAUGCCUAGGAAUCUGCCUGGUAGUGGGGGACAACGUUUCGAAAGGAACGCUAAUACCGCAUACGUCCUACGGGAGAAAGCAGGGGACCUUCGGGCCUUGCGCUAUCAGAUGAGCCUAGGUCGGAUUAGCUAGUUGGUGAGGUAAUGGCUCACCAAGGCGACGAUCCGUAACUGGUCUGAGAGGAUGAUCAGUCACACUGGAACUGAGACACGGUCCAGACUCCUACGGGAGGCAGCAGUGGGGAAUAUUGGACAAUGGGCGAAAGCCUGAUCCAGCCAUGCCGCGUGUGUGAAGAAGGUCUUCGGAUUGUAAAGCACUUUAAGUUGGGAGGAAGGGUUGUAGAUUAAUACUCUGCAAUUUUGACGUUACCGACAGAAUAAGCACCGGCUAACUCUGUGCCAGCAGCCGCGGUAAUACAGAGGGUGCAAGCGUUAAUCGGAAUUACUGGGCGUAAAGCGCGCGUAGGUGGUUUGUUAAGUUGGAUGUGAAAUCCCCGGGCUCAACCUGGGAACUGCAUCCAAAACUGGCAAGCUAGAGUAUGGUAGAGGGUGGUGGAAUUUCCUGUGUAGCGGUGAAAUGCGUAGAUAUAGGAAGGAACACCAGUGGCGAAGGCGACCACCUGGACUGAUACUGACACUGAGGUGCGAAGCGUGGGGAGCAAACAGGAUUAGAUACCCUGGUAGUCCACGCCGUAAACGAUGUCAACUAGCCGUUGGGAGCCUUGAGCUCUUAGUGGCGCAGCUAACGCAUUAAGUUGACCGCCUGGGGAGUACGGCCGCAAGGUUAAAACUCAAAUGAAUUGACGGGGGCCCGCACAAGCGGUGGAGCAU
rnacentral:rRNA from 1 species